rnacentral:lncRNA from 1 species
GGGGUAGGGACAAAAAUACUUCUGUCCUGGUUACCGUUCUUGCAUAACUAUUUAUCCAAAAACUCAGCAGCUUAAGCAACUCUUAUUUUGCUCUAAAAGUUAUGGGUCAGGAAUUUGAGAAGGGAGUCAGAGAUGGUUGAUCUCUGCUUUAUGAUGUCUAAGGCCUUAGCUGGAGCUAAAACUCAAACUAUACUCAUUAAUAUCAAUAUUAUAACUAUAACAAAAUAUAAUUUCAGAUUUCUUCAGAGAGUUUUGGGAUGAAUGGUGCUUCCUCCUCCAAAUUGAUUAUGCUAAAGUAUCUCAGAAUGUGAUUGUCUUUGAAGAUAGGGUCUUUCUUUCUUUUAAUUUGAAGAUAGGGUCUUUACAGAGGAAAGUUAAAUGAGAUCAUUAGGAUGGGCCUAUUCUAGUAGGACUGAUGUCUUUGUGGGAAGAGGAGAUAAACAGACAAGCGCAGAGGAAAGACCAUAUGAAGACACAGGGAGAAGAUGGCCCUGUACGUGCCAGGGAGAGAGGCCUCGAAAGAAACCAACCCUGCCAACACCUUGAUUUUGGAUUUCCAGCUUCCAGAACUGUGAGGAAAUAAAUGUCUGGUUAAGCCUC